GUCUGCUUCCCUAAAUAUAUUCUUCUCUUUCUCAAUAAUGUCCCACAAGUGUGAUCUUCACCCCAUUUCCAGUCCCUUUUCUGGGCUCUGGUGGUUUGUUGGGAACAGAAGACUGGCUGGCAUUUCCAGAGAAGGAGGGCAUUUCCAUGCCAUGUACCUCUCCAGGAGUGAUGUGAUUGAGUCUGAGUUGUUUUGAAACUAAACCAUGGUGGUUGAAGACCAAGAAGCUGCCAGCACUCAGAAACCUCCUGUUUUCCUUCUGACCCUGAAUCUUGAAUAAUUUUGCACAAGGAAGAUCAGGUUUGAAGAUUCCAUGCAAGAAUCCCACCAGUGCUCUGCAGGACCUGGGUGGCCAUGUGAGUGCCCAGCAGCUGAAAUUCAGGUGCUAUGAAGACUUUGGGUGGAAACUGCAGCAUCCAGAGAAUUUUAUUAUCUUGAGAAUUAAGCACCAUCUUGGCAGGGGUUUUAACCCAGACAUCCCAGUCCACACAUGGUUCUAGGUUUUGGUAUUUUAUCCUUGGUCUAUUUUGUUAGAUUUUGGCAAUAGAAUAUUUGCUAUAUUCUUCAAUAUCCUUGGCUGGCUCCUGUCCCUCCUGGCUCACGUUCACAGGGACACUUCCCCAUCUUUUUCUCUCCCCUCCCUUUGCCUUUUGAGCUGUAGGGUGGUUGUUUGCUCAAUAAACAAUGUUUGAAGUCGGCGGUCUCCAGGUAUCUGUGUUGACUGAAACCACUGGGCUGUGACAGAGAGAGCAAACAGAGCAGCUUAACAGACACUGUUCUGGUUCAUGUGAAGCCCUCAAGCAUGGCUGGUGAGGAUUCCCUCAGUGACAGAUCAGGGGAUGCUUGGAGGAGUUUGACACAGCAGCACUUUUUGGUUUCAUUACCAUUAUUUUCCUAAAAUAUAACAAUAGCUUACCUGUUCAGUUUAAUAGUUAAUUGUUCACAUAAAAUGCAAGUAAGGUGCCUUGCUUCAAUUUGGCUUGGGAAGUUGGUUAUUCCAACAUUCAGCUCUGAUUCUUCACCUGGUAUUCUCACAGGAGCAUCUUUGUUGGACAUUUCAGUAUCUCAAAAGAUUUGUAAACAGCCACAGCACCCAGUGCUGAAUUGUCAGGGAUGGGAAUGCAGGAUAAAGGCUUAUUGAAGAGUCAUUCUCUGACACUCUGGUUUUGUUUAUCAUUUUAAAAAACAGCCUGGGAUCACUUUCAGGCUUUGGUCUUGUCAUGACAACAUCAGACAGGUCAGCCAGAAAUUUCCAAAGGUUUUGAUGAUUAAUUUGUCCUUGCAUUUUGGUUAAAAUAUUAUGCUUCUGCAUUUCCUGAUUGAUUUUUUUGUUAUUUUUAAUGGGUGGAUCUGUGUUGGUUUCAGUGGCUGCCUUUUCUUCCUCAUUUAUUAAUGAAUAAAUCCGGGCUGGUUUUGCUGAGAGCUGUAGCACUUGCUCCUGCUGGUGGGUAGGGCAUUCCAUUAACCCAAACUGUGAUACCAGCUACAAGUGCACCUGCCUGUGGUGCCCUUAAAAUCCCUCAGUGGUUUUAUAAACCAGGUGAUGAGACCAGGAAUGUCCUUGCCAAGCUCAGGUUUAGCCUGUGGUGCAGUUGUAGCUGGAUGAAGUGUUGAGAUACCAGCUGGAUCAUGCUGCUGGUAGGGCUGCUGUGACCCUUGUGAAGUGUCACAGGAACACAUCAGAAAAUGGAAUAUCGAUUCCCCCCCUUUUUUUUUUUAAUACUGAUAUUUCUUUAUAAGACAUUGUUUUGCCAUUUUAAUUAGGUUUUUUUUUUUGUUCUGUUUGCAUUUGUCACCAUAGCAGACCACCCAAUUAUCUUCUUUUUUUUUUCUUUUUUUUUUCUGCCUUGUCUGCUGCAGUCCAGAAGUGGAUGGAGACAGCAAGAAAUGGGAGGGUUCCAUGGUAAAGGAGGUGCAGGGAGAAUUCCUGUUAGCUGGGCUUUAUGGACACAGGUUGGGCAGUGGGCAGAAAGUCCUGACUGUGGAGUUUUGCCACAAAAGCACAUGAGGAAUAGCUACAGCAGAAGGGAAAAGCCAUUUGUGAGGGCAUCACACUGGACUGGUUGGAUAAAACCCCCAUUUCUUCUCCUCUCCAGAAUCAGUAAAGAUAUUUCUUCAAAGAUAUUUCUUCUUCUUCUUUGAAGUGCAGAGGGAGCUCAGGAAAUCUCCAGAGAGCAGCACUUGGGGACAUGGUUUAGUGGUGGUCUUGGCUGAGCUGGGGGAAUGGUUGGACUAGGUAAUCUUUUCUCACCUUAACAAUUCCAGGUUCAGCUGAAUCCUAGGAGAGCUGCUCAGCCAGCAGCCUGGCACGUGCUCUGCACACCUCAAGGAUGCUGCCUCACAGUGUCUUUUUGCUUCCUGGUCUUGCAGACAAACUUUUUUGCUGAACAAGGUAGAUAGCAGCUCUGAAGGGAAAACAGAUCCCCAGCCCCUUCACAAACAAAUCCAGCAUCACUCUAAACCCAUGCAUUUCCUUGGCCCUGCAGCAUCUGUCAAAGAGCUGCUUCAGCACCUCAGUGCUUGGGAGCUGUAACUUCCACCCUCAAACUAUUUGGCUUGUUCUGAUGUAUUCUUGUGCUAACGCCAGUUUUCUGUCUAAGCAGGCUUCCUGGUUUUGUUGUGCUCACUUCCCUGCCAUAUUUCUACAGGGAAAGCCAAUUGUUUCUGCCUCUUCUCCUGGAAGGUUGAAAUUCCCAUCUCCCUGGCUUCUCUGUGCUUGGUGAAAUGGGUGGAUCUUUCCUGAAUGGGGCACCCUGCUCAGCCAGUGACCCUGGAGAGGAUCAGUGAUACUCCUAUAACUCCACUGACCACGUCUGGAUUGAUAAACCUUGGGAUUUCACUUGGCUUUUCCAUUCCUACAGGAUACUGGAGUGCUGUAGUCA